GACAGACAGACAGACAUGACGAAUCUAUAAGGGUUCCGUUUUUUGCCAUUUGGCUACGGAACCCUAAAAAGGCCCUAAAGGCAUUGUACCAAGGAUGCUGGCGACAUUUCCUCGCUGUAUCGGAAUGCUGAUACGUUGUGCGAGGUAGCCGCCAGCUCUUCGGUCACCAGUUACGUCAACCAGACGCUU